AGCCAAAGCUGUCUCGAUUACAUAACCUCAUCUUGAAAGCCCCAACUCCAAAUCUGAGUAAAAGAGAAGACAGAGGAGUCUCCUAGGUAGGCACUAGGAAGGCACUUUGAAGUCUGACCUUACUACCACAUAACCAGCACACAGGUAUGCUUAGAAUUGUUAUUUAAUUAAAAAUUUUACAGGAUUACUUUUAUAUCAUAGUAUUAGUAUAUUUUAUAAUAUUACAAGUAUUGUUGUACAUGAGAGAUUUUUUCAGUAUAAAUUUGCACAAGGAAUAAGAAUCAAAAAGACUAACAGUUCUAGCUUUACACUACUUUCUAAUACUUAACAUGUUUCAACUCAUCUUACAGCAAUUCAUAAACUCAGGGGCAUGUAUACUAAAAAUAUUAGCUAGUAUAAUAUUAGCAAUAGUAGUAACUUCAAAUAAAAUGUGUAGUGUGUGUUUAUCAAAACUAAUAACAUUUUGUUCAUUAAAAUGUUAAUGGUUUCAUUACAUAAAAUAACUAAUUAUUUUCUUCACUAUUACUUAGAUAUUAUUCUAAAUUUGAACAAUUUUAAUGUCUUUUGAAAAUAUCAUAGGAAAAAAAGGAGAGAGAAUUUAAUCAAAAUUGAGAAAAAGAUCAGAAGAAUAUUAAGGGGAAGGAAGAAGAGGAGUGUAUUAAGGGGAAGGAAGAAGAUAAGUGUAUUAAGGGGAAGGAAGAAGAGACAGAAAAAGGAAAGAACAGUUGAAUUUAUCUGAACAAAUUUCAUAUGUGAAUAUACCACAAUGAAUCACCACAUCAAAUACAUUCACCAAUCAUUUUCAAAUAAUAAAAAAAUCUACAUAUAAAUUGCAGAGGGAUUGCCAGGCACAGUGGCACAGGUUUGUAAUCCCAGCAGCUCAAUAGGCUGAGACAGGAGGAUCAAAGCCAGUCUCAGCAAGUGCAAGGCACUAAGCAACUCAGUGAGACCCUGUCUCCAAAUAAAAUACAAAAUAGGGCUGGGGAUGUUGCUUAGUGGUUGAGUGCCCCUGAGUUCAAUCCCAAGUUAAAAAAUAAAAGAAAAAUUGCAAGGGGAUCAAUAGAGUAGAAGGAGUAGAGGAAAGAAUUUGAGAGGGUUAAGUGCUGGGGACAGAAUUAGAACAAAUCAUAUUCUAUGCUAUUGUGAUAAGGUCAAAGUGUAUCCUAAUGAUGGACAUAACUACAAAGAAUAAAAAAUGGUUAUCAAACAAAAAAAUGUAAAAAGAGGUAUUAUUUAGCAGUCAGGGUUAUCAAUUAAAAUAUUUCACAAUUUUAAAAAUUGUCCUAGGGAUGCAUGGAGAUAGGAAAAUAGUAGAAUAAACUUGAAUUUUGUAUGAAGCAAAGUAUAAAAUGUUUUCAUAAUUGACAUUACUAUAGUGAUAUUAGUAUAUACAGCCCAGUAACAUUUAUCUGUUUUAAAUUUAAUAUUUCUUCAUGUUGGAAAACACUGGUUCUUAGUACCUGUCAUAUUUAAGGAAGUAUCUGCUUCACCUGUCAGAUCUGUAGGCUUUGAGUUCUUCUUUAUUAAUGCAAGUCAUUGAGAAAGAACAUAGAAUUUAACACCAAAAUUUUCCAGGUUAGUCAUUCUUUGAUGAAGAUUUGCUGAAUUUUCUAUUCUAAAAAAAUUUCCCAGAGAUGAAAAGAGAUAGAAAACUGAAGAAUUUUAAAUUUGUGUUGAUAUGAACAUUAUUUUGUUCAUGGCUUGGCAGAGUAAUGUUAUUAUACAUAAAUAUUGGCCCACUUAUCUGGCUACAGUUUAUAUCCCCUACGUUAAAAAUCAUUGUUCCUUGAUUCCAGAAAAUGUCUAGAAUUGUCACCUUCUCCCAGCUGAUCUAUAAGCAUUACUCUUUACUAAUGCACAAUCAUUAUAAAAAUACAUAAAAUUUUAAACAAGAAUUCUUGAAUAAGUAGCAAUUUCUUUAAAAGCAAGAUAUAUUUUGCUUAUGUUAUAUUUACUGAAUCCCCUAGGAAUAAAACAAAGUGGUUUUUUUUUUGUAUUUUCAUUGAAAUUUUUGUAGCAAAUAACAGCAGUUUACAAUUAUCUAGAGAAAGAUAUUUCAUUUUUAAUGAAAAAUAUACAAUUAUCUAAAGCAAUUUUUGCUGUUUCUGUCACUCAAAUCUUUAUUAAUGACGUUCAGAAUUGAAAAUAAUAUAUAAAAUUAUUUUCCAAAUACCCUUUUUAUGCAGUUACUGAAUAAUCACAGAAUCCACAUUUGCAUAUUUAUUAAGGUACAUUACUUUAAACUUCAGAAAUUUGUAUGAUUUUGAAGAAAAAGAAAUGAUCAUUAGACUACAAUAGUGGAGAUGUUUUCCAUCCUGAUCCACUAAUGUCUCAAUUCAGGCAUUGGAAGCAGGAUGACAGAUGCUUGAGAAAUAUGACCAGAUAUCCUGAAGAAGACUCAAAGUCAUCACUCGGGUAUAUUUCAGGGUCUAAAUGAAUGUGCUGGUGAAUGUUUCUGAGCUAAGGAAUAUUCCAGUGUCUUCCAAAAAGUAUCCAUUCAAAUUGAAGACUUACACUUUUAUGUAAACUUGCUCAUAGCAGACAUUUAUUUCUCUUCUUUGGUGACAAAUUUACCAACUAGAAUAUGGCAGGUUGAAUUUGAUUAGUCCUAUUACCAAUGCCUGAAUUGUAGGUUUGAAAUAUUUGAUUUGCCUUUAAAUCACAAGUUUUGUUGCAUAUACAAAGUGUGUGUGUGUGUGUGUGUGUGACCUCUUCCUUUUUUUAUCUGGUGAGAGACAAGCAAAGAGAUACACUAGAUGAGUAAAGGCCCACCUUAGCUGGGCGUGAUUGUGACAAUUGUUUCAGAAAUUCAGGAGUCAAAAAUGGGAGGAUGCCAAGUUCAAGACCAGUCUUGGCAAAUUAGUGAAGUCCUAAGACAUGACAGUGAGAAACUGUCCAAAAUUUAAAAUAACAAGGACUGGGGAUAUAGUAAAACACCCCUAGGUCCAAUCACCAGUCUCUCUAACAAAAAAAUGUCCACUUUGUUGCUUUCUACAAAAUCAUUGACCUGACUUAGGCUGGAUAUUCAGCUAAUUUCAGCAAGUAGUUUAUGAGAAUUCUCUUCCUGUUUGUUAAUCACCUAAAAAUCUAAUGUUGCCUUCUGAUUUUCUUCUUCACAAAACACAUACAUAUGUUGGGGUAGGAAUUAUCCCAAUGCAAAGACAAAAAUGCUAGCUCUAAAUUUCAUAGGAUUCAGCUUUUUACUCCAAAUGUAUCUCUUGCAUUUCACCCUGCUCACAUGUAUCUGUUCAUCCUGUACAUGGGUUCUGUGACUUCCCUGGGCUGAGUCUCUUGUGUUUCUCUGUAUUUAUUUCUAUGCUCACUCACUUCAUUUCAUAAGAAUUAUGUUGAGGUUAUUGACUCUCAUUAACUCUGCCUUUCAUUAGAUAGUUAUUUUGAUAAAUUGGAGCAUAUAAAUCAUUUAUUACAUAAUACUUACUACUCAUAUAAAUGUCCAGAAUUAAUUUACUACCAUUGUUUAAUAGAUCAAAAACUUUAAGACAGGUGAAAGAGAUUGAGGAAAACACCUGCAUUAGAGCUAGGGGCCUGCUAUUCAGUGGGACAUUGACCAUGCAUCCAACGAACGUGAAUAAUGUGAGAGGCUAACUGAAGGACACUAAACAUCAGUUCCUACUGCCGAGCAUCUAAACAUUUGUCAGAAUUUAACUGAAAAAUUUGCAUGGGACAUUUUAUGUAAAGGAUGCCUCACCAUCAGUGACCUGGAUAGACUAUUUUCUCUAAUGCACAGGUCUGAGAAAAUUAAGAUAGAAACUGGCAUUUCUUAGUGCUCAUCCAUGAGAAGGAGGUCAUACGAGCUGUCUGCCUGUUUCCCUGGAGUGUUUAUCAAUAUGGGAACAUUUAAAUAUAUUGCCUGGAGUAAUUUAAAAGUGAGGGGAGAAAAGUUAGAAUAUCAUCAAUAUAUAAGCACUUAAGUUUGAAAAAAAGUGGCCAAUCUUAUGGUAGACUUUUGUACUAUAAGGUAUGAAAUUUUUCAUAUGCUAAAUUAAACCUCCUAAACCAAGUUUAGAUAGAGAUAAAACAUACAACAAUAAUUAAAAUUUACAUAGGGCUUCAAAUAUAUUAAUCAUUAUUUAAUUGUUCACACUGACAAUGCUAGUAAAUAGUUUUAUCUUGGUGCUGCUUUAACUCAGGAUAUAAACGGAGAUGAAAUUAAUGAUGUAAGGUGACAAGGCUCACCAUUAUAGUAAGUGGUGUGGCAUGAGUUAAAUGAAGCCAUCUGGGUAAGGAAUACACGCUACAAAAUUUUUCACAAUUCUGUACUUCUAUAAAGAAACCAUGAGACUGAGCAUAAUGAGAGCAUUUCCCUGGAAGAUUCCAAUUUUCACUAGUCCAUUCUUCAUACCAACAACUGUUUAUGGGAAAUUUCUAUGUAGCAGCAGUAUUUCAGAUACUACCAUUUUAAAGACAAAUAAGACAAUAUUUUCACCUUUAAGAACUCUUCAGGAAGAAAUUAAAAGUAAGUCAUUAUAACAUGAUAAAAUUUAUAACAUAAAGGAAAACAUACUAUGUCUCUCAGGUUGAGAAACAGAGUAAGAUAUUAGCAUAUCCAUGAAGUGCUUGGGAAAUAUACAAAUUGUUGAUCUGAAGAAUAAGUGGUGCAUAAGUUAAAAUAAACUAAUGAAUUUAUAUUUAUUUAUUUUUUCAAUGCCUGGGGUGGAACAAAACCUUUCUAUGGGCCAAUCCAGCACUCUACCACUGAGCCACACACUAUCCCUUCAACUUAAAUUGACAAUGGAAAAAAGACUCUAUCCUAUUUACUAGAAACUUUUUUUUAGUAACUAAUGCUUCUAGAUACAGUAAAAGGUAUUAAAAUGAAAGAAAAAUGCAAAGAAAAUACUACUUCUGCCAAACACUUCUGAUUUUCUUUCCAGAAACACAUUUGUUUCAACCUUCAACAUCCUCAUGAAGAUGAAACAACGCUCCAGAUUCAGUGCCAUAAGACAUGCCCUUUAUCUCCAAGCUGGCAUCAGGACUCCGCAAACACCUUUCUGUUAUGUCUGAACACUGCUGCUGUCCUUGUGGGCACCAAGCCCAGGCUCACCAACCUCCCCAUCCACACACCUGGCUCUACACACAUCCUCAUGCUCCUCACCAUGGGACUUUUGAUAUCUAGAGACAUUUGGGAAACAGGACAUUCCGGUUGACCUGAAAUGCAAAGUACGUGUCUUCCUGCACAGUGUCAUGAGGGGACUCUCCAUCUGCACCACCUUGUCCUGAGUGUGCUUCAGGCCAUCACCACCAGUCCCCAUGGCUCCUGGCUUGCCAACUUCAUAUUUAAAUCCAAAAAUCACAUCCUGUGGCUAUUUCUGAUCUUGUGGGUCUUCUCCAUGUUCAUUGCUAGCAACCAGCUUCUGUGUACUGUGGCCACAAACAAUAAGACGGUAUUCUGCUUGUCACUGACUGCUGUUACUUUCCACCAAUUUACAGCCAUCUCUUUCUCAACUGGAAGGCAUUAGAGAUGUCUUUUUGUGAGCCUUAUGGUUUUUUUCUAGUGGAUACAUGAUCAUGCUCUUAUACAGACAUAAAGAGCAGUCCAUGUCUCUUCACAGUUCUGGGUUCUCCCCCAAACCUUCCCACAACAAAGGGCCACUCACACCAUCCUGAAGCUCAUCAGUAGCUUAGCCAUCCUGCACUGUGCAGAAGUUUUUCAUUUCAUUGUUCACAGGCAUGACAUGGACAAAUGACCCUAUUCUGGUGUGUUUCUAUAUCCUUCUGGGCAAUGGCCAUGGCUUAGUUGGUUUGUGCUGGCACUCAAAUAACAAAAAUAAUGCAAACCAAAUGUAGAGACAAAGGUCAGUUUCUGACAAAACUGAUUUAAGGAAGCUUUACCACUCUCAUUAAAACAAUUUUCUCUAUUUUAUAGAAUUGAAUGAAAAAAUAUUAAUGAAUAUAUCAAAGUUUUUGUCAGGUAAUGUGACCUAUGUAAUUAUUAAGGAUCUUAUGUAUAAUUUUGCCUUAUAUUUGCAUGAAUUUCUUGAUUUACAGCUAUGAAUUUUUAGUUUCAUGUUACUUUCUGUCACAUAUAUUAAUAAUAUGCAUAUUUUGUGAAUAUUAUUUUUUAAGUUUUUUUAAAUGAAAUUCUAUUUUUAUUUAUUUAUUUUUGUGGUGCUGGGGAUUAGAACAUAGAGCCUUGUGACUGCAAAGCAAGAACUCUACCAACUGAGCUACAUCCCCAGACCUUAAUUUUAUUCUUUUACGUUAUACAGAAUAAUUAAAUUUAUUUUUACAUUAUUAUACAAGCAUAGAAUACAUUUUGUUCUAAUUCAGUCCUAAGUACUUUCCCUUCCCUCCCAUCUUCCCAUCACCUUAUUCAUUUCCUCUACUCUACUAAUUUUUCUGCUAUUAAUUUAGUUUUUAAAUUUAUGUUUUUGUAUGUAUAUGAUAGUGAGAUUAAAUUUAGUUCAGAUACAUUCCAGUUCUUUCCCUUUCCCAUCCCUCCUUUCUUUCCUUCAUUCUUUAUCUAUUCCACUGAUAUUUCUUCUGUUCUUUUUUCUAUAUUGCCCCUUAUUCUGUAUAAAUGUAGCUGUGUUAUAGUCUUCUUUAAGAUUAUUCUAGCAACCAGGCAGCACAUUUCAAUUUGCAAAAAUGUAAAAAUCCAAAUGAUUAUCAAGAUAAGAAUGUAUAAACAAAUGUGGUGUGUAUAUGCAUAUAUAUUUAAUUAUAUAUAAAUUUAUGAAUAGGCCCGUGUUUGUGUGUGUGUGCGUGUGUAUUCAAGUACAUAAAUAUAUUUGUAAUUUAUACAUGUAUAUUUUAGAAUAUCAAUAUGACAAAAAGGAAUAAAAUUCUGAUAUAUACGACAACAUUUAUAGGUCUCCAAAAUUUUAAGCUAAUUAAUCA
rnacentral:lncRNA from 1 species